CCUACGGGCGGCAGCAGUGAGGAAUAUUGGUCAAUGGCCGGAAGGCUGAACCAGCCAUGCCGCGUGAAGGUCAGUGCCCUAUGGGCGUUAAACUUCUUUUGUGCGGGAGCAAUAAUGGUCACGUGUGGCCAGACGAGAGUACCGUACGAAUAAGCAUCGGCUAACUCCGUGCCAGCAGCCGCGGUAAUACGGGGGAUGCAAGCGUUAUCCGGAUUUAUUGGGUUUAAAGGGUGCGUAGGCUGUGAGGUAAGUCAGCGGGGAAAUGCCCCGGCUCAACGGGGUGAAGUGCCAUUGAUACUGCCUUGCUGGAAUGCGGAUGCCGUGGGAGGAAUGUGUGGUGUAGCGGUAAAAUGCAUAGAUAUCACACAGAACACCGAUUGCGAAGGCAUCUCACGAAUCCGCGAUUGACGCUGAUGCACGAAAGCGUGGGUAUCAAACAGGAUUAGAUACCCGGGUAGUC
rnacentral:rRNA from 1 species